CCCACCUUCUCUUUCUCGGGAUCAGAAAGAUCAAAACCUGUGUAAGAGAGGACACAGCCCAUUUCAGAGAGCUCAUUGAACACAAAUCCUUCACAGGGACAUUGGAUGUGUACACUCCUUGAGUCCUUUACUAUAAUGUACUUCAGCCUCUUCAACAUUCUAGAACUCUGAAGAGUCUGAGAGGUGGCUCUAUCGCACAGAAUCUUCAGUGCGGCCUCUGUUCUGAAUGGAGCGAUGCUGAGCUCAACACUCUUCUGCUCAGUGGAAGCGACCACCUCAAAAGUGGUAUUAAAAAAAAGUGGUAUUGAUAUCAUUAUCUAGAUAGAAUACAUUUCCUAGAGACCGAAGAUCCCUUAUCUGCUUUAGGCUUCCUGAAUAUGAAAUUCCAGGUCAAAAGCUUUUUAAGUAGCACUGCUGUUUAAAUUCACCUAUCUUCAGAGAAGAAUUUUGAGACUUGAAGUGAAAAUAAAAUGAUAUAACUAUAUGAAUGUAAGUGUCUCUAUCUAUGUAUA